rnacentral:lncRNA from 1 species
ACGAAUUAUCCUUCCAAAAUUCCAUUCCUAAAGCCCCUUCUCACAAGCUUACAACAUAUCAUUUAAGCAAAAAGUUUAGUUGUUGAAUUUAGAAGCAUUUGUUCAAGAUACAGGAUGCAUUUGUUCAAGAUGCAGAUCAACAACACCAACAAACAAUCAUGCAUAAUAAUAAAAAUAUUAGUACCUUUGAACCACGCUGCAGGUAGCGGAGACUUGCAACGCCAAAUGAAUUUAAAUCCCCUCUGCCCCUUCUGGGCUCGUACCAAAUCAAUGAACAACUUAACUUGGAUCAAUUAAUUAUAAGAAAGAAUGACACAAUAAUACUUUGAUUGCCGCUCCCACACCCCGUGCAAGGUGCCAAUUGAAAUUUGAGCGCCAAAGCCAACAGCAGGUUUAUAGACUGGAAUCUCAAAACUACUCCAAUUUCCACACAUACCAACGGCAACAAAUUUUCUUUUUUUUUUUUGGGGGGUCGUAGGAGAUUUUUUUUUGGUCCCUAAAACUUCUUCCCGGGAAAGUGAAGACCCUCACUGUCCGUCUGUUCACGUUGCCACCAACUAAACUGAAUAUUGGACACACAGCCACUU